rnacentral:lncRNA from 1 species
AAAGAUGCAUGAUGGAGGCCAGGAAUGCUGGCGUCCUCUGGAAGGCAAGAAAACGGGAAAGGGUCUUAGGAGAGUUGGACACAUUCAAAACACAAUAUGUGAUUAAGAAGAUUAAAGAUUAAUACUUAUUGAUGGAUUACUAUGUGCCAAACUUCCAACCGAAUCCUGACAACAAUUCCUUAAGAUGUGGAAACUGCAGUUCACUGAGGUUGACAUUUCCGGGUUCAUACAACAAGGAUGGGGAUGAAUGACUGUAACUGCAGACCUUUACAAGGACAAUGAGAGCUCCUAAUGGAGGCGCUAAGGCAGCUGGCCCAGAGGCAGUAAAGUUGGCAACCUCAUUGGCUCCCCUUGAGAGUCCGGCCCACCACAACCAUUCUUUUAGAUAUGCAUGGUCACUUAGAUCUGCUUUCAUGGUUCCUAUCCUGUUUGGCACCAUGACAAGAAAACAAACAAGUUAUGGACUUAGAAGAUAUAGACUUAUGGUGGAGACAGAGACAUGGAAUAAUAACCCAAAGUAGCUCAUCUUCCUAGAGGCCUAUUCUUCCUCUUCCUCCAGCCAUUGCCUGUUUGACAUGAGAUGUGUCCUUCGAUAAGUCAGUAGUGGAUUACCUCAAGGCAGGGGACAACUAAGGCUCCAAUAGAAAGGAUGAAUUGCAAGAAUGGGACAGAGAUCAUAUUCUCAAAAGGACUUUUUAAUAAAAACUCACUGAAAGCAAUUAA